AUUGAACGCUGGCGGCAGGCCUAACACAUGCAAGUCGAACGAGUGGCGGACGGGUGAGUAAUGUCUGGGUAACUGCCUGAUGGAGGGGGAUAACUCCUGGAAACCGUAACUAAUACCGCAUACCAUCGGAUGUGCACAGAUGGGAUUAGCUAGUAGGGGGGGUAAAGGCUCACCUAGGCGACGAUCCCUGGCUGGUCUGAGAGGAUGACGAGCCAAACUGGAAGUGAGACACGGUCCAGACUCCUCCGGGAGGCAGCAGUGGGGAAUAUGGCACAAUGGGCGCAAGCCUGAUGCAGCAAUGCGGCGUGUAUGAAGAAGGCCUUCGGGUUGUAAAGUACUUUGAGCGGGGAGGCGUUACCCGCAGAAGAAGCACCGGCUAACUCCGUGCCAGCAGCCGCGGUAAUUC
rnacentral:rRNA from 1 species